GGUUGUCUUCUAAAUCAAGAGCUUUAGCAGACACGUACGAGUGGCAUUGCUGUGACACAUCAUGGAGAGGAUUCGGCUGUAUCCUGGUCUCAUAAAGGAAAGGGUGACAAAGGAGGUGAGCCAUGGGAGAAAAGAUCCCAGGGAGAUCUCCAAUUUUAAAAUAGAGGCAAGCUUUUCUAAUAUACUAGUGAUACAAAGAGAUUCACCACUUCUUCUGUCCCUUCCAAAGGACAGUAUCCGCCCCCCAAUCCUAUGUUACUGUGGAUAAAAGAUUUUCCUUUUCAUUUUCUUUUUCAUUUUCUAAUUUUUCCAGAUUGGCAAAAUAGAGACCCUUAAUGAAUAUGCCAUUGUUAAGUGAGACCUAAC
rnacentral:lncRNA from 1 species